GAUCCAGGCUGAGUCUCUGUGUGAGGAGCCGGGGAUGGAGCCGGGCUGGGUGUCUCUGUGUGUGGGGAGCCGGGGAUGGAGCCGGGCUAUGUGUGUGGGGAGCCGGGAGCCUGGCUCAGGAUGGAGCCGGCUAUUGGGUGUUUCUCUGUGUGAGGAGCCGGGCUGUGUGUGUGAGGGGCUGGGGAUUGGCCGGGAUGUCAGACACCGAGCGGGAUGAAGCCGGGCUGUGUGUGGGGGGAGCCGGCUAUUGGGUGUCUCUGGGAUUGGCCGGGAUGUCAGACACCGGGCUGUGUGUGUGAGGAGCCGGGCUGGGGCUGGGGCCGGGGCUGUAGCCGGGUGUCUCUGGGAUUGGCCGGGCUGUGUGUGAGGAGCCGGGCUGGGGCUGUAGCCGGGAUGUCAGACACCGAGCGGGAUGGAGCCGGGCUGGG